rnacentral:rRNA from 1 species
UACGGGGGGAGCAAGCGUUGUUCGGAUUUACUGGGCGUAAAGGGCGCGUAGGCGGUCAGCACAAGUCAGUUGUGAAAUCUCCGGGCUUAACUCGGAAAGGUCAACUGAUACUGUGUGACUAGAGUGCAGAAGGGGCAACUGGAAUUCUCGGUGUAGCGGUGAAAUGCGUAGAUAUCGAGAGGAACACCUGCGGCGAAGGCGGGUUGCUGGGCUGACACUGACGCUGAUGCGCGAAGGCCAGGGGAGCGAACGGG